UGGGGAAUAUUGGACAAUGGGCGAAAGCCUGAUCCAGCCAUGCCGCGUGUGUGAAGAAGGUCUUCGGAUUGUAAAGCACUUUAAGUUGGGAGGAAGGGCAUUAACCUAAUACGUUAGUGUUUUGACGUUACCGACAGAAUAAGCACCGACUAACUCUGUGCCAGCAGCCGCGGUAAUACAGAGGGUGCAAGCGUUAAUCGGAAUUACUGGGCGUAAAGCGCGCGUAGGUGGUUUGUUAAGUUGGAUGUGAAAUCCCCGGGCUCAACCUGGGAACUGCAUUCAAAACUGACUGACUAGAGUAUGGUAGAGGGUGGUGGAAUUUCCUGUGUAGCGGUGAAAUGCGUAGAUAUAGGAAGGAACACCAGUGGCGAAGGCGACCACCUGGACUAAUACUGACACUGAGGUGCGAAAGCGUGGGAAGCAAACA
rnacentral:rRNA from 1 species